rnacentral:rRNA from 2 species
ACAGGGAUUGCCCUAGUAACGGCGAGUGAAGCGGCAACAGCUCAAAUUUGAAAUCUGGCCCUUUUAGGGUCCGAGUUGUAAUUUGCAGAGGGCGCUUUGGCAUAGGCAGCGGUCCAAGUUCCUUGGAACCGGACGUCACAGAGGGUGAGAAUCCCGUACGUGGCCGCGAGCUCUUGCCGUGUAAAGCCCCUUCGACGAGUCGAGUUGUUUGGGAAUGCAGCUCUAAAUGGGAGGUAAAUUUCUUCUAAAGCUAAAUAUUGGCCAGAGACCGAUAGCGCACAAGUAGAGUGAUCGAAAGAUGAAAAGCACUUUGGAAAGAGAGUCAAAAAGCACGUGAAAUUGUUGAAGGGGAAGCGCUUGCAGCCAGACUUGCCUGUAGUUGCUCAUCCGGGCUCUUGCCCGGUGCACUCUUCUGUAGGCAGGCCAGCAUCAGUUUGGGCGGUUGGAUAAAGGUCUCUGUCAUGUACCUCCCUUCGGGGUGGCCUUAUAGGGGAGACGACAUACAACCAGCCUGGACUGAGGUCCGCGCAUUCGUGCUAGGAUGCUGGCGUAAUGGCUGUAAGCGGCCCGUCUUGAAACACGGACCAAGGAGUCUAACAUCUAUGCGAGUGUUUGGGUGUCAAGCCCGAGCGCGUAAUGAAAGUGAACGGAGGUAGGAACCCAUUUGGGUGCACUAUCGACCGAUCCUGAUGUCUUCGGAAGGAUUUGAGUAAGAGCAUGGCUGUUGGGACCCGAAAGAUGGUGAACUAUGCUUGAAUAGGGUGAAGCCAGAGGAAACUCUGGUGGAGGCUCGCAGCGGUUCUGACGUGCAAAUCGAUCGUCAAAUUUGGGCAUAGGGGCGAAAGACUAAUCGAACUAUCUAGUAGCUGGUUCCUGCCGAAGUUUCCCUCAGGAUAGCUAUAACGAAUUCAGUUUUAUGAGGUAAAGCGAAUGAUUAGAGGCCUGGGGGUUGAAACAACCUUCACCUAUUCUCAAACUUUAAAUAUGUAAGAAGUCCUUGUUACUUAAUUGAACGUGGACAUUUGAAUGAUCGUUAUAAGUGGGCCAUUUUUGGUAAGCAGAACUGGCGAUGCGGGAUGAACCGAACGAGGGGUUACGGUGCCGGAAUACACGCUCAUCAGACACCACAAAAGGUGUUAAUUCAUCUAGACAGCAGGACGGUGGCCAUGGAAGUCGGAAUCCGCUAAGGAGUGUGUAACAACUCACCUGCCGAAUGAAUUAGCCCUGAAAAUGGAUGGCGCUCAAGCGUGUUACCUAUACCCCUCCGCCGGGGCAAAAUUUACGCCCCGGCGAGUAGGCAGGCGUGGAGGUCCGUGACGAAGCCUUGG